rnacentral:rRNA from 1 species
GUGCCAGCAGCCGCGGUAAUACGGAGGGUGCAAGCGUUGUUCGGAAUUACUGGGCGUAAAGCGCGUGUAGGCGGCUUCUUAAGUCUGGUGUGAAAGCCCGGGGCUCACCCCCGGAAGUGCAUUGGAUACUGGGAAGCUAGAGUACCGGAGAGGAAGGUGGAAUUCCUGGUGUAGCGGUGAAAUGCGUAGAUAUCAGGAGGAACACCGGUGGCGAAGGCGACCUUCUGGACGGAUACUGACGCUGAGACGCGAAAGCGUGGGGAGCAAACAGGAUUAGAAACCCUUGUAGUCC